UGUGAUUGAGAGUGGUACAAAAUAGCAAUGCCCUCGCCUUUUACUAGGGCAUUCCGUGUACCACUCUCGCAAUACGAUCACUCACUAAUCUUUGGAAACACUUUCUUCGUGAAAGAC
rnacentral:snRNA from 1 species